UACGGAGGGGGCUAGCGUUGUUCGGAAUUAUUGGGCGUAAAGGGCGCGUAGGCGGCCGGACAAGUCGGGUGUGAAAUCCCUCGGCUCAACCGAGGAACUGCAUUCGAUACUGUCUGGCUCGAGUCCGGGAGGGGAUGGUGGAAUUCCCAGUGUAGCGGUGAAAUGCGUAGAUAUUGGGAAGAAUACCAGUGGCGAAAGCGGCUCUCUGGUCCUAAACUGACGCUGAGGGGCGAAAGCGUGGGGAGCGAACGGG
rnacentral:rRNA from 1 species